rnacentral:lncRNA from 1 species
GGUUUCAAAAUGGGUUACAAGGGAUAAUGUCAGGUGUAAGGUAGGCUGAACAAAGAAAAAAAUUGGUUUAAAGUGUGGCGUUGGGAUGGAUAAAUAAUGGUAGGAAGGGAUACUUGAUGAUCGGAGUAAUAAGAGAUGAAAAUAAAACUCGCAAGACUUUUCACUUCUUCUUUUUUUACUCUUUUUUUUUGCUCACUUCUUUUUUUCGAAUUUUUUUCGAAUUUUUUUUUUGAAUUUUGAUUUUUUUUGUGAUACUCCAAUACAAUAGUAAGGUAAAUACAAGGAAGGAAAAAAAAUUAAAUUACAACUCGAAAUUUUUUUUGAUUUUUUUUCACGUUCCGAACCUGAUGUGCGCACGCUCACACCAACAAAGCAAACUGAUCCGGAGGUCUUACCAUUAGGACCUAUUACUCGAUCUAGGGCAAAGAAAUUCAGGGAAGCCUUGUUCCUUACUUGUGCUACGAUUCCAGAUUUAUUCGAUCAUGUUCAUGCCUUAGAACAUAGGCUUUAUAACAUGUUGCAUGCUGAUAUGUGAAGUAUUUAGGUUCUACUA